UCCGCUAUUUUAACCAAACAGAGCCUAAGACUCCGUUCAUCAACUAAUUGAGCAAAUUACAUUUUUGUUUAGGUUUCAUUUAGUACAGUUAUCCCUUCGUGAAUUCUCUUUCUUGGCAUACUAGCAUAGAAGCAAUUUUUUAAUGUUCAAUUCACCAAAUAGACAAGAUAGUUGCUCCAACAGAAUUCAUUUCAGCUUAUACAAGAUUGCCAUUGUCUAAAUAGAAAUUAUCCUUUUUUAAUUAGUACUGUAGAUGUAACAUUAACGCUCACAUUCCAAUUCAGAACAUUGUCCUCUCAAAAAAAAAAAACCAAAAUCAGAACAUUGUCUCAACAUAACCUAAGGAGAAUCUCAAUGGAAUGGGUGAAAAAGCAGCUAAAACUAGCAAAAGUGGACAACUAUAUGAUAUUAUUU
rnacentral:lncRNA from 1 species